GGUGGGGCCUGGAAGCGCGAUGAUCCGGAGGCUCCACCUCGACGAACAGGGAUGACUGGAGUUCCAAAGCUUAAUCCCAAAUUCUCCACCCAAAGAGCAGGUGAAGAGCGCCGCUUGAAAUAAUGCAGCUAAGUUGCUCACUUUAACAGAUUUUUUGUGGUUAUGCAAGGACAAGUAAGGUUCCAAUUGUUAAUUUCGAGGUUUCUCAUCACAGAGCAGGUAAAAUGUUGAUGUUAUGAUUUUUUAUUUUGCUGAUCAUAUUUUCCUUACUUGUAUGAAUCUCUGGCGAUGAUCUAAUUGAUUGGAAUUAUUUUAAUCAUUCGUAAUGUUUGUGUUGUUGCCAUGUUGGAGCAGUCGCACAGUGAGGCUGCUAAGAGCUGAUAAGGGGAAGGCGUUUGUUGAUCUUUUAAAUGAGAAAGCAAACGAUUCUGGGGAAAAUGAGAUGGGCUAUGUAGAAAGGACGUUAGCGUUCAGUACACGGCAUUUGGAUGAUAGGGAUAUAAGAUUGGUAAAAUUCAUAUAUUUCACAUGUUGAAAUGUUUGUUCUGUCUACGAAUUUCAGUACACAGAUGGACCUUACCGGCGUCACUGAUGUGCUGUGGAAGAGGUUCUUCCAGCGGGAAUUCGGUGAGGCUGACAUGAACGUUGCCAUCAAGAGAAUGAAGGAGAGCGGAGUGCGUUACAAGUGGAAGAAACUCUUUGAGAAAAGCAAAAGCAAGUUGAACAAAGAAUGUCCGCGGGACUCAGAAACAAAUAUGAAGUAGCAAACGCCGGGACAUGAUCUUGCGGAAGAUGGGCAACCAUGCUUUGCUGCCAAAAGUCUCCUUCACACAGUGCCGCCGGCAAACAUGUCAUGCAGCAUUUGUCGAUCAAACAUGUGUUAGAUGAUGGAAAAGAUCACACAUGGCAUUUGAUUUCAAGUAAUGAUAUUAGAAGUUUCACGGUGAUGACCAGAUCUUGAGGUUCCACGGUGAUGAUGGAAAGAUUCCACGGUGAUGACCAGAUCUUGAGGUUCUAUGCUGCGUCGCAGAGGCUGGUUCUUGAAGUUUCUUGAUUUCACCACAAUUUUAGCAGUUUUGUGUACCAGCUCUUUCAGCUUAUUUGUAGCAUGUGUGCUUCUGCACAAUACUGAAGUUUUGAACAGUGGUAGCCUGUAACAAACCUAUAAAGCCCUAUGAUGUUUGGCACCAUGAGGUGUUUAUAUGAAUCAGUAACUCUGUAACUCGUAUUAUUUUAAUUGUUGGAGAGGAAAAGAAAAGUAGAAGGAAUUGGCACACAA